GUUACAUUUUCCCAGUGAGUCUUUCAGAACAACCUACCAACACUGAGUACCUUGGAAGAAUUGCAGCAUCUAAAUGUAUUAUAUAGCUACUGAACAUGGUGGACUGUGGACUGAGACUUGGAGAGGAACCAACAACUUUUAAAGAAAUCAUCCACUGAAAGCAACAACAGAGGUAAAAUAGGGAUGGAAAUUCAUUAUGGAUAGAUGUAAGAACAUAGGG
rnacentral:lncRNA from 11 species